AAAAGAUCAGAAAGAUCACAUUGCUUUUUGAGUUCUUUUUUUUUGCCUUGGGUGAACUCAUAGCACAUCUGUUCCAAACAUGUAUAUGUGUGUGUAUAUGUAUGUGUGAGGGUGUACAUAUAUAUACAUAUAUAUAUAUUUAAAAGACAACCACAGAUUCUGAAGGCAUUUAGCAAUAAGUUGAAUUCCAGUUGCUUCUAGCACAUGUGUCAAUAGGUCGUGUGUGAAUAGUUCCUUUUCCAUAGCAUCCUCAGACUCGGUAUAAGUCCACACACAGGCGUUGUCUUUGCAUAGCAGCCUUCACGUCUUGUCCUUGCCGGUUCUGUUGUAUGGGGGAAAAGGGAACCUGCUAUAUUUGGAUGUAAAUAAUGGGAACUGAACAGAGAAUUUACAGAAUUUUUAUAAAUGUUUUUAAAACCUCAGCACCAGAAGUGUAAAUGUGUCAGCCCAUUCUGAUGUCCAUCACUUGUCCAGAUCCACAGCCAGGGGGACUGCCUUACAGCGCCUGCGCCCGCUCCCAGCCAGCGGGUGAAUGGUCAGACACUGUCACUUACCCAGCUUCCUUUGGGUCAUUCACAUCAGGGUUUUGUGAUGCUGCUAUUAAUUUAUUAAAGAAAGUUUGUUGGUUUAAUCGCUCUUAAUUUUCCUUUCAUGGUCUGUCAGAGCACAGAGGAAUGAAUGUGCCCUCUUUGCCUUUCAUCCGUCCCCACUUAAAUCUUUCCUGAGUGAAAAAUGUUGUGAGCCAAAACCAAAACAGCAACAAAAAAUGAGGAUAAGCCUGAAGAUAACUUUCAUUUCUCCUCCCACAACUGAAGUAUGGCCCUUAGCUGCUUAAUCACAGAAAUGAGCAUCAGCAGAUACCAGCGCUUCAGACUGGUUACAAGUGCAGAGACGGUGAUAAACGCUUUCCCCUUUUCUCCUUCCGCCCUCCCUCCAGGAAUAGCUGUUAAAAAUUAGAGUUUAAACGUUACCUCAGUCUGAAGAAUGGAUUUAGUUCUCUGCAACUCACCCAAAGACAGGUUGUUCCUCAGCAGCUUUGCUCUGCUGAGCUGUAGCCAUUAACCGUGGUGGUGCCUCAAGAAGUCCUGCCCUGGGGCUGCCUGGUGGCUGUGGGAGUACCCACUGGAAGCCUUGUGUGAGUCUUCAAGCCUCGGCUCAGGCUGGGGCAGAAAAGGCAUCAGAAGCUUUUUUUCUGGGAAAAAGCCCCCAAAGAUGACCAAGCCUUGGGCUGGCGCAGUAGAAGAGCAGAGGUGGGUACAUGUACACAUACAUCUGCACGUAUGAACAUGCGCAUCCCAGAGCCCCCAGAGAGCAGCAAGAGGUGUCGUUGUGCUUCAGUCUUCCCUUGAAAGCUUGUGACUGGCUGAACAGCCAGGGAGGAAUCCUGUGAUGGGAGGUGGAACGCAGCCUCUCAGGUCUUCCACUUGCUCGCUUUUACCCACACUGAAACUUGUGCUCUGAAGCUGUCAGGAGUCAACAAAUAUCUCUGCGAUGUGUCAUUCCCUCUGGGCUGUGCAGGGAUGCUGCAAGCCCAGAACAACACGGGGAUGGAAAGUCUUCAGGUGGGUGAUUUUCAUAGAACCCCAGCCUGGUUUGGGUUGGAAGGGACCUUAAAGCUCAUCCCAUUCCAGCCCUGUGGCUGCCCCAUCCCUGGCAGUGUUCAAGGGCAG